UGCAGUCGAACGAGAGUAGCAAUACUCUAGUGGCGGACGGGUGAGGAAUACGUAGGAAUUUGCCCUUAAGUGGGGGAUAGCCCGGGGAAACCCGGAUUAAUACCGCAUGAUCUCGAAAGAGCAAAGUGGGGGAUCGCAAGACCUCACGCUUUUGGAGAAGCCUACGUCGGAUUAGCUAGUUGGUGAGGUAAUGGCUCACCAAGGCGACGAUCCGUAACUGGUCUGAGAGGAUGAUCAGUCACACCGGAACUGAGACACGGUCCGGACUCCUACGGGAGGCAGCAGUGGGGAAUAUUGGACAAUGGGCGCAAGCCUGAUCCAGCAAUGCCGCGUGUGUGAAGAAGGCCUUCGGGUUGUAAAGCACUUUAAGUUGGGAAGAAAAAACUCGCUCUAACACAGUGAGUCUUGACGGUACCGACAGAAUAAGCACCGGCUAACUCUGUGCCAGCAGCCGCGGUAAUACAGAGGGUGCAAGCGUUAAUCGGAUUUACUGGGCGUAAAGCGUGCGUAGGCGGUUCGUUAAGUCGGUUGUGAAAGCCCUGGGCUCAACCUGGGAAUUGCAGUCGAUACUGAUGGACUAGAGAACGGUAGAGGGAGGCGGAACUCCAGGUGUAGCGGUGAAAUGCGUAGAUAUCUGGAAGAACACCGAUGGCGAAGGCAACCUCCUGGGCCUGUUCUGACGCUGAGGCACGAAAGCGUGGGUAGCAAACAGGAUUAGAUACCCUGGUAGUCCACGCUGUAACGAUGAGAACUUGACGUCGGUUGCUUAGCAAUUCGUGUCGAAGCUAACGCGCUAAGUCUC
rnacentral:rRNA from 1 species